rfam:Nicotiana attenuata strain TT scaffold03088, whole genome shotgun sequence.
GUUUAAGUAUGAACAAAUUCACACUGUGAAACUGCGAAUGGCGCAUUAUAUCAGUUAUAGUUUGUGGAUGGUAUCUACUACUCGGAUAACCGUAGUAAUUAUAGAGCUAAUAUGUGAAAAAAACCCCGACUUCUGGAAGGGAUGCAUUUAUUAGACAAAAGGUCGACGCAGGCUCUGCCCGUUGCUGCGAUGAUUCAUAAUAACUCGACGGAUCGCACGACCAUCGUGCCGGCGAUGCAUUAUUCAAAUUUCUGGCCUAUCAACUUUUGAUGGUAGGAUAGUGGCCUAUGUUGGCCCUUCGCCACUUUGAUCUUGACUUGACAACGAGAG